UGGUUUGUUAAUGGUGGUUGGCUCAGUUUAACAACUUCCACCAUACAUUCCUGUUCAUUUCUCUGGUUUGGCUAUUUAGAUGCCGUAAACAAUGUGGGUUUCUUGUGUUGCAUACCUUGUGUAGGUUUUGAUCUGGCUUAUCAGACUUCUUUUCAUCUCUUGUCCUGCUACGACACCUGAUGAACCAUAAACGUGUCUCUUUGAACCACAUCAUUAACUGGUGUGUUGAUGUAGUGGAGCAUUGAGCCUUGCCUGGUCUCUUUGAUGUAGUACCUGAUGUGGGCAUGGGUCUCAUGGGAUCCUUGUUAUGUCCCUGUCUAGUGUUUCCGCAUAGUAAAUUGACUGCUUGACACGCUUGGCUAGUACAUCGUGUCAGGCUUUGUCUAUGAGGAAAGUUACCUGGU
rnacentral:misc_RNA from 1 species